GUGCCACCGCGGUAAUACGUAGGGUGCGAGCGUUGUCCGGAAUUAUUGGGCGUAAAGAGCGCGUAGGCGGUCCGAUAAGUCGGCUGUGAAAGUCAGGGGCUCAACCCUUGAAAGCCGGCCGAUACUGUCGGACUAGAGUCCGGAAGAGGCAAGUGGAAUUCCCGGUGUAGCGGUGAAAUGCGCAGAUAUCGGGAGGAACACCAAUGGCGAAGGCAGCUUGCUGGGACGGUACUGACGCUGAGGCGCGAAAGCGUGGGGAGCAAACAGG
rnacentral:rRNA from 1 species